GGCUGGGUUAUUUCUGUAAGAGCCAUUAUCCCCAGCUACCUCAGAAUAUAAAAUGCCUGUUCCGGGAAUGGGCCUCUCUACCCUCCCCAGCUCGCCUUUCAGAUUUUCAGCUGACUGGCACCUCUGAUCUCAAGGAGACAGAAUGAGAAUGGUGGUGGCUUACAGACCUACAGUGAUGACCUCAGAGGGGUGGCCUUGACCUUUUCUGGACGUCAUCCACCACUCAGGUCUGUGACAUUUAAUCCCAAAUGUCUCAGUUUCUGUAGAAAUUUGUUCUCUAGGGGCCUGAAAGCCAGCCAUCCCUCUUCCCUGAGCCUCAGUUUCCCUUCCUGUGGAAUGAAGACGUUAUACAAGGUGAUUCCACGUUUUCUGUGAAACCCUCUUCCAGGAAAUGACUGCCCAUCCUCUUACCUCUUGGAGUAUGGCUUCCUUUUCCCCACUUUUAUUCAUGUUUGUUUAACUCACAGUCGUUGAUUGCUUGCCAGACACUGUGCUAGGAGCUAGGUGCUAGAGAUGUGGUAUGAGCAAGACAGAUACCAGUUCCUCACCUGCUAAAGUGAGAAAUAGUGCACAGGUAAACAGAUGAAUCAACACAAUAAUUUCAGGUAGCAAUAAAUGCAAGGAAGGAAGAAAGUAAGUAGCUGUGAAAUAGACUAAAAGCUUCAGAUAGCUGUACGCAGGGUGAAGGAAACAGAGAAGUCAUCUGAAAUAGAGUACUCUUGCUUGAGUGGCUCAGGGGCUCUCUUGGGGAAGCGAAUAAUAAGUAUAAAAGUCCCAAGGUAGGAGACAGCUUGCUAAGUUUGAAGGGGGCCAUGGUGACUGAAGCACUGUAAGUAAGGAGAAGGAUAGGGAAUAUGAAGGAGAGGUGGCCAGGGCAUUCAGGUCAUGGUCAGGAAGCUGGGCUUUCAUCUGAGUGAAGUCUUCCCUCAGCUUAACCCUCAUGCCUUUCCAGUAGUCUCAAGUUCCCUUACAGCGUCCAUUCUUCUUCCUCGUUCUGACCUUAACCCAUGACCUCAUUCAGAGAACUCACCUGUACAUAUGUGUACAUCCCUUCAUACUCACGCAGAACACAGUUGCUGCCCAACUGCUGCCACUUCCUAGACUACUCUAGCAUGGGUUUCUGGUCCCAAGAGGCUCUCAGUCCCCAGUGUCCACCUCAUGGAUUGAAUACUUACCCUUAACACUCACUCUCCCUGACCCUCCAGGUUAGUCUUCCUUAAACAACAAUAACUGCAGCAGCAGUUGUGAAGACGUUGGGAGGACUGGCCCUGUACCACACACACACCCAGUCUUUAUCUCACUGAAUCCUCACAGCAAUUUGAUGAGAUUGGAACCCAAAGCACCCUAUGGUACCAGUGAGUAAACAGGUUUAGCAACGCUACAGGCCAUGCCCAUGGUCACAUAGCAGAGAUGGAGCCUGCAUUCCAACCUGGGCCAUUAGAGUCUCAAUCACUGCACUAACAACCUAAGUGUAUCAGCGUUCUGUUGCUGUUUAACAGGUCACUCCACAAAGUGGCUUCCAGUGACAACCAUUUAUUGUGUUUGUGUGCAUUUGCAGCUUGGACACGUUGGCCAGGAAGGCUCUUUUCUGUUCUACACAUCUGGAGGAGGUUGUUCCUGCAUUCGCAGUUAGGUGGCAGGUCAGUAACCUGACCUGUCCUGUGUGGCCUUGUUGACAAGUACAGCUGGGGCUGGCGGCUGGAGCGCCUUGGCUCUCCUCCAGGUGGCUUCUUCAGUCAACCAGCUUGAGCUUCCUUACACGAUGGACUCCAAAAGGAAAAGGAGAAAAGCAGCAAGGCCUCUCAAGACACAGGCUUACAAGUGCUCCAGCAUCACCUUUACUGCAUUUUAUUGAUCAAAGCCAGUCACAGGAGACUGGCCAGCUCAGAUUCAAGAAGACUAGAAAUAGAUAAUAUCUCUUGAUGAAGAAAACAUCAAAGUCAUCUCACAGAGUCACAUGUACCAGAAAGGAUGGAAUUUUUGUGGCCAUAUUUGUAAACAUUAUCUCACAUUAAGUAAUCAUAGUUAUGGAACUGGUUAUGUAAAUCAUGGUACAGCUAAACAUGGAGCUAUUCCCAGCAAGGAGAGCUCAUAUAUACAAAAAAAUAUGUAUAUAUAUUUUUGGUAUCGAGGAUCGAACUCAGGGGCACUCAACCACUGAACCACAUCCCCAGCCCCUUUUGUAUUUUAUUUAGAGACAGGGUCUUAUUAAGUUGCUUAGUGCCUUGCUUUUUGCUUAGGCUGGCUUUGAACUAGUGAUCCUCCUGCCUCAGCCUCCCGAGCCGCUGGGAUUACAGGUAUGCAUUACUGUCCCCAGCAGGCUAAUGUUUUUGAGCAGUUAAUGUGUGUCAGCCACUGUAUAAGAUACCUUCAAUGUAUUAACAUAUUUAAUCCUCACAACAGCCCUGUUGAAGUAAGUACAUUUUAUCCCCAUUUUAAAGAUUAAGCAUACCAAGUCUUAAGAGAGUUUAAAUGACUUUCUCAAAGUCAUACAGUUAGCAAGUGACAAAGCCUUUAAAAAGAGUAAGAAACCAGGUGCCCUGAUCCAUGACUGUAAUCCCAGGGACUCAGGAGACUGAGGCAGGAGGAUUUCAAGUUCAAAGCCAGGCUCAGCGACUUAGCAAGGCCUUCAGCAACUCAGCAAGACCUGUCUCUAAAUAAAAUACAAAAAAGGGCUGAGGAAGUGGCUCAGUGGUUAAGUGCCCCUGAGUUCAAUCCCCAGUACCAAAAAUAAAAAAUAGAGAUGAGGACAGCAGUAGGUCCUGCCAUGGAAUGAUGUCUCGGACACACUGUGGCAUAACCAAAAGCAAGAAACAAGACAGUAGUUUGGUUGGUUGAAACACAUUAAGAAAUGAGUAGAGGGCUGGGGCUGGGGCUCAGCGGUAGAGCUCUUGCCUAGCAUAUGCAAGGCCCUGGGAUUGAUC
rnacentral:lncRNA from 1 species